GACGAACGCUGGCGGCGUGCCUAACACAUGCAAGUCGAACGAGGCCGAACCUUCGGGUUCAAUGGUCGAGUGGCGAACGGGUGAGUAACACGUGAGAAACCUGCCCCGAACUCUGGGACAACCACUGGAAACGGUGGCUAAUACCGGAUGUCGUCUUUUGGUCGCAUGGCCAGCUGACGAAAGCUCAGGCGGUUCGGGAGGGUCUCGCGGCCUAUCAGUUUGUUGGUGGGGUAACGGCCUACCAAGACAUCGACGGGUAGCUGGUCUGAGAGGACGAUCAGCCACACUGGGACUGAGACACGGCCCAGACUCCUACGGGAGGCAGCAGUGGGGAAUCUUGCGCAAUGGGCGAAAGCCUGACGCAGCAACGCCGCGUGAGGGAUGAAGGCUCUCGGGUUGUAAACCUCUUUCAGCAGGGACGAAAAUGACGGUACCUGCAGAAGAAGCCCCGGCCAACUACG
rnacentral:rRNA from 1 species